GAUGAACGCUGGCGGCGUGCCUAAUACAUGCAAGUCGAGCGAACAGACGAGGCGCUUGCUCCUUCGACGUUAGCGGCGGACGGGUGAGUAACACGUAGGUAACCUACCUAUAAGACUGGGAUAACUUCGGGAAACCGAAGCUAACACCGGAUAAUAUUUCGAACCGCAUGGUUCGAUAGUGAAAGAUGGCUUUGCUAUCCCUUAUAGAUGGACCUAGGCCGGAUUAGCUAGUUGGUAAGGUAACGGCUUACCAAGGCAACGAUCCGUAGCCGACCUGAGAGGGUGAUCGGCCACACUGGAACUGAGACACGGUCCAGACUCCUACGGGAGGCAGCAGUAGGGAAUCUUCCGCAAUGGGCGAAAGCCUGACGGAGCAACGCCGCGUGAGUGAUGAAGGUCUUCGGAUCGUAAAACUCUGUUAUUAGGGAAGAACAAACGUGUAAGUAACUGUGCACGUCUUGACGGUACCUAAACAGAAAGCCACGGCUAACUACGUG
rnacentral:rRNA from 1 species